AAUGUGCAAUUCAGCAAAAGUUGAGAGUAACAAAAAUAAAUCACCGAAGUGCAACAGCAAGCAGGCUCGAGACCCCGUCUGCAAGACCGUUAUUAGUUGCAGUCUUCGUGAGGAGUAGACGCCAUUGGCUUGCGUUGCAGUUUGCAGCAGCAGAGCAGAAAUCUCCUUCUCCGUCUGCGUCCGUUCCUGCAAUCCAAAUCAUAAUAGAAGCAAAAUGAGCAACGAUCCUUCCAAUCCCACAGUAACCCUUCUCAUAGCCAACAACGAAACCAUCCGCUCCUUCCUCGCCUCAGCCUCCAAAGACCCAAGCGUCUCCCCUGACCUCCAACACGAUGCCUCUCACCUCGCUUCCCAACCCUCCGUGCCCUACAAGCCACUCCGUUCCCUCUGGUUCGCUUCCUCACCCUCCACACGUCCCCGCCUGCCCCGCCUCUUUUCGGGCUCCGAGUUCGUCUUCACCAGCCCCAAAACCAGGGAAAAGAGUGAAGAAUUGAAGGAGAGGCUGAAGAUGCUUUCAGAUUUGGCAGAGCGGAAUGCUUAUCAGGAGCUUGUUAAGGAUAUUACCCCAAAGAAGAGUGCAAAUGAGCCUUUCUCUUCUUAUAAGGAUCAGCUAGGAUUUGGUUUGCAUGUUGUGCUUACAAUGUUUGCUGGCUAUUUGGUUGGAUAUGCGGCAUUCAGGGCCUUGUUUGGCCACAGUGCUGUCAUGAAUGCUGCUGGAGGCCUUCUUGGAUUGGUGUGUGCCAUGCUACUUGAAACACUUCUUUUCAUUAUCAGAACUUCCAAUCGUGACCUUAAAUUCUCACCUUCCACUUCAAAGCUGAAGAAGGAUCAAUAGACUUGGCCUUAAAGAGAAAGGUAUUCUUGAUUGCACUGUGUCCAUCUUAGACACCAAUUGAUGGAGAGGGGAUCCAAUCCAGAAGCAAGACUCGCUAUCAAGAACUCUAUAAGCUAACAAGUUGACGAAGGAAGAUAAGAUUAUCAGAAGAAAUGAGACAGAUCACGUUGACAUUUUGACACAACAAAGUGAAGAGUGGGUUUUCUUUUGCUUUUCUUCCUUUUCCGUUUCUCUCUGAUGGGCUCUCAUGUAAAUAACAAAACGAGGAUGUUGGUCCUAUCUGUUGGAAGAUUUUUAUUCUUAGCAUACAUAAUGACGCCUUUGGUGCAGAUGAACUGUGUUUUGGAACCCAAAUUAACGUGUUUGGACAUGUAAGAAUCCAAUCCAGCAUCUGGUUUUGUUUCU